rnacentral:lncRNA from 15 species
GACUCUGACAGUCAGUAACUGAGAAGAGACAUAAAGAAGACUGAAGCAUGAUGGUUGAAUCAAGAUGGAUUAAAAUGUCUUUAUUUCUGAUGCUGCUGCUUCACUUUACAGCAGUGGCUGAACAACUCUACCCCCGUAUUGUUGUCAGAGUUGGAGAUGAAGUACACUUUGCCUUGUGACAAUGUGAGAGAUUAAUCAGGACAAAUGUCAGCGUACUUCGUGGCCUCUUGUUGGUUCAGGAAACACAAAGGUCAAUAUAUCUGAUUGAACGUAGACAGAUUUUUGAAAACGCCGAAACUAAAUCAGACAGACUGAGUGUUGCAGCGAACUGUUCUCUGGUUAUAAAGAAGGUCACAGUCGAGGAUGUUGGUCAAUAUACCUGCAGACAGUUUAUAUCAGGACAACAAAAAGGUCCAGACUCUCAGGUUCAUCUGUUUGUCAUUACCAUGACUGAACAUAAGGACUCUGAUAAGGUGACAUUAAGCUGCUCUGUGUCGACUGACAGAAGGUGUGAACACAGAGUGAAGUGGCUGUAUCAGGGUGAAGAUCUGGAUAAAGAUAAUGAAGACAGGGACACAUCAGAGCCUAAGUGCUCAGUUACUGUGACAUUCCCUACUUCUGAUCUUAACCUGAAGUCAGAGCAUCUUAAGUGUGAAGUGACUGAUCUUUUUGUUCAACCAGAGCAGCAGUUUACCUUCAGCCUUCAGUCCUCAGCUCGUACAGAUUGGUCUGUUCUGAACUACAUAAUGUUGGUUAUGCGUGUGGCUGAACUCCUCCUAAUUACGGUGAUUACUGUUCUUCUCAUCAGAGCUCGAGGGAACCAGAGACCACCUGAUGACAGCACUGUUUUAAACUCAGAAGGAAGCCGAGCAGUGAGGCGUUCAGGUCCAGCAGCCAGUCAGGUAAAGAUCAGAUCAGACAGUAACUGGAGAAAAAUCUGGC